rnacentral:pre_miRNA from 1 species
AGUACAAUUGCUGGGUCAAAUAAUGGUUGCAUUCUAAGUUUUUUGAGGAAUAUCUAUUUGGCUUUCCAUAAUGGAUGUACCAAUUUGCAGUCCCAUAAACAAU